CCCUUAGAUGUUCUGGGCUGCACGCGCGCUACACUGAUGCAUGCAACGAGUUUUCGACCUUGCCUGAAAGGGUUGGGUAAUCUGUUUAACAUGUGUCGUGAUGGGGAUAGACCAUUGCAAUUAUUGAUCUUCAACGAGGAAUUCCUAGUAAGCGCGAGUCAUCAGCUCGUGCUGAUUAUGUCCCUGCCCUUUGUACACACCGCCCGUCGCUCCUACCGAUUGAAUGAUCCGGUGAAUGAUUCGGACCAGCGUGCUGCUCAGAUCCUGCGCAGUGUGCUGGGAAGUCUAGUGAACCUUAUCACUUAGAGGAAGGAGAAGUCGUAACA
rnacentral:rRNA from 1 species